rfam:Rattus norvegicus chromosome X, whole genome shotgun sequence.
GGGGAUUUAGCUCAGUGGUAGAGCAUUUGCCUAGCAAGUGCAAGGCCCUGGGUUCAGUCCCCA